CCAGAAAACGUGGGAUCUGAAAUGAAGGCGAGAUGGCCAUCGACAAAUUCCUGGUGUAAAGAACAAUAAUCAGCCAGUAUUGCUGCCUCUGGCACUAUCUGGCACAUCGGCCAAAUCAGGGGUGUGUCUGGCAGUGCAAUAUGGGAUCAGGUGACGUGGAAAAAAAAACACUCCCCUGCGAUCACACAAAGGUGCUUUGUCUUGGGCGGAAGUAAACUGCGUCUUAACACAGGUAAAAGCGAGGCAGCGUCAGCUGUCGGACAACUACAAACAUGAAACACAAACUAAUGUGCCACACACGGAAAUAAAGAGAUUUCUGACACUAGCAGCCGAAAUGAGUUUCCGCUGUGGGGUGUCCGGACUCUCUCUUGGAGAGAGGGUGAGAAGCUCGGUCCACCUGUGAGGGGCUCAGUGUCCAGCCGCUGCUCAUCUGCAUUGAUAGGAGCCAGAUGAUGUGGCUAGGGCAUCUGAUUAGGAUGCCUCAAUGGUUAGGUGUUGCGGGCACGCCCCGGGGACCACCCGGGACACACUGGCGAGACUCCUGGCUGAACUGGGAAUGCCUUAGGAUCCGCACAGAAGAGCUUGAUGAAGUGGUUGGGGAGAGGAAAGGUACUGCGCUCUCGACCAAACUCCAGAUAAGCAAAGAGGAUGGAUUAGUCAGUCAGUUGUUUUGUCAAUUAAGUCUGUAAUGUACUGCCCCCGAUGAACAAAGUGCACACACCCAAAGGAGCAGCAGAAUGCCGAUUAAAUUGAAGCAAUAAGUGUGACAAAAAUGGUUUGCAUCCCGACAUUCUAUUUAAUCAAUUCAUCACUGACCCAUGGAAAACUCAUCCAUGUGCAUGGAUCUGCAAAAACAACGGAAAAGGCUGUGAUAACCAUGUUGGGCAAAUAUUUGACCCUUGUAAAUAAAAAAAUAAAAAUUAAAAAAA